UUGAGUCAGCCAGGCUGCUCCCGCUGCUGCUGGAGAGAGGAUUCCUAUCUGCUGCUGGGAUAUCCACACCCACGGAGACGCUCACUUUGACAUUUCGACGGGGUCUUCCCGAACCGCAGACUGCUUCAUUUUUCCAGAAAAGGAGGGCAAGAAAGAGGACAGGUGUGUAAAAAGAGAGACUCUGCGACAGGAGCGGACUCCUUGAGCUGAUAGAGGGAGCUGAGUUGAAUAAGGUGCUUUCCCCACCACUACUGGAGCCUUAUUAUGGAAAGCAGAUGUGGAGAAGCUGUG